GCAUCUAUAGUUUAACGGAUAGAAUACUUGCCCCCGAAGCAGGUGAUAUAGGUUCGAUUCCUAUUAGGUGCACCA
rnacentral:tRNA from 2 species